rnacentral:rRNA from 1 species
AUGCUUUGUUGCCAUGUCUUGAAAAUCUUCACGCACCUUGGCGUUAAUGAGAUACCUGAACACUACAUCAAGCGCCGCUGGACGCAACAUGCAGUACCAAGUGCACCACCGCCACCUAACGAGGGCCCUCCGCAUGACUUGCCCGCUGAGUCAGAGAACCAGGUUUGGCAAGUGACUCUGACAAUGGAUUUUGCAAAGCUAGCCAAGAAGGCAAUGACUAGUGAUGAGGCAGCCGCUGCAGUUAGGAGGCACAUGAAAGCAGCAGAUACUGAGGUUACUAAGCUGAAUAAACUAAGGAAGAAGAGGCUAAAGGCAGCCCGGGAAGCGGCUCGUGCUAGGGAAGCAUCAAACCCUAAUGCCCCAAGUACUUCAAACCAACCUCCUGCCCCCCUGCUCCUAUGGAUCCACCUCGUUCAGUCACGAAAGGGCGCAGCCGCAGCAAGCGCUUCAAAUCAGCCCUGGAACUACACCCUAAGAAAAAGAACAAGUGCAGCAUUUGUGAAUCAAUCGAUCACACUGCUGCGACGUGCCUAG